rnacentral:rRNA from 1 species
GAUGAACGCUAGCGGCAGGCUUAAUACAUGCAAGUUGAGGGGCAGCAUGAUAUACGCGAGUAUAUUGAUGGCGACCGGCGGACGGGUGAGUAAUAGGUAGGAGACCUACCUCAUACAGGGGGAUAGCAUAGAGAAAUCUGUGGUAAUACCCCAUGAGGUUAUAUGAAUAGAGGCAUAUAAUCAAAGCAUAAGCGAUUAUGCGGUAUGAGAGGGGCCUACUGACCAUUAGCUAGUUGGUGAGGUAAGGGCUCACCAAGGCGAAGAUGGUUAGGGGUUUUGAGAGAGACGACCCCCCACAUUGGAACUGAGAGACGGUCCAGACUCCUACGGGAGGCAGCAGUAGGGAAUAUUGGGCAAUGGGCGAAAGCCUGACCCAGCCAUGCCGCGUGAAGGAAGACGGCCUUAUGGGUUGUAAACUUCUUUACUACGCGAAUAGAGGUUAGUACGAGAUACUAAUAGGAAGGUAGUGUAAGUAAAAGCACCGGCUAACUCCGUG